GCCGGGCGAUGGUGGCGCACGCCUUUAAUCCCAGCACUUGGGAGGCAGAGGCAGGCGGAUCUCUGUGAGUUCGAGACCAGCUUGGUCUACAAGAGCUAGUUCCAGGACAGGCUCCAAAAACCACAGAGAAACCCUGUCUCGAAAAACCAAAAAAAAAAAAAAAAGAUAGGGUUUCUCUGUAGCUUUGGAGCCUGUCCUGGAACUAGCUCUUGUAGACCAGGCUGGUCUCAAACUCACAGAAAUCCGCCUGCCUCU
rnacentral:SRP_RNA from 1 species